UUAUGCCCAGAGCUUGCCCCCAGGUGAAAAAGCAGUUGUAAAGCAGAUAGAUGCUGACAAAACACGAUUUUAUGUGUUUCCAGGGGUUCAUUUGGCAGAAACACACCUGCUAAUAUUCCCGAGAUGUCAUCAUGAUGAGACACGCGUCUGUGCAGGCUCCAGAAUCCCUAGAUGUGCCUGCGAACAAAGCCGGCAAUUCAGCGCUGGGUUCUCUCAUCACCUCGACCCACUCCCGCUCUCAUCUUGCCAAGCCUCAGAUCCGACUGCAGCCCAGAGAGUUAUACUAUGCAACAAUGAGGCCCUUGUAUGAGUGGAGGUAACACCAUAAUUGUUACAAUCUGCCCAUUCAGGUAAGUGCCACACCCACCUGUGACUCCCAGUGGCAUUACGAGGGGUUUCUGGCUUUCAGUGAUGUUGCAUUUAUCAGAAACAAUCAGCAGGGGUAUGUUUUACACACCUCAAAUCCAAGGUACACUGCAAGAAACAUUCUGAAAAUGAGCACAAAUGUCUUAAAGAAGUUGUAUUUACCCUUAAU